rnacentral:rRNA from 1 species
GAUGAACGCUGGCGGCGUGCCUAAUACAUGCAAGUCGAGCGAACAGACGAGGAGCUUGCUCCUCUGACGUUAGCGGCGGACGGGUGAGUAACACGUGGAUAACCUACCUAUAAGACUGGGAUAACUUCGGGAAACCGGAGCUAAUACCGGAUAAUAUAUUGAACCGCAUGGUUCAAUAGUGAAAGACGGUUUUGCUGUCACUUAUAGAUGGAUCCGCGCCGCAUUAGCUAGUUGGUAAGGUAACGGCUUACCAAGGCGACGAUGCGUAGCCGACCUGAGAGGGUGAUCGGCCACACUGGAACUGAGACACGGUCCAGACUCCUUCGGGAGGCAGCAGUAGGGAAUCUUCCGCAAUGGGCGAAAGCUUGACGGAGCAACGCCGCGUGAGUGAUGAAGGUCUUCGGAUCGUAAAACUCUGUUAUUAGGGAAGAACAAAUGUGUAAGUAACUAUGCACGUCUUGACGGUACCUAAUCAGAAAGCCACGGCUAACUACGUG